GACGAACGCUGGCGGCGUGCUUAACACAUGCAAGUCGAACGAAGAGCGAUGGAAGCUUGCUUCUAUCAAUCUUAGUGGCGAACGGGUGAGUAACGCGUAAUCAACCUGCCCUUCAGAGGGGGACAACAGUUGGAAACGACUGCUAAUACCGCAUACGAUCUGACCUCGGCAUCGAGGAUAGAUGAAAGGUGGCCUCUACAUGUAAGCUAUCACUGACGGAGGGGAUUGCGUCUGAUUAGCUAGUUGGAGGGGUAACGGCCCACCAAGGGGAUGAUCAGUAGUCGGUCUGAGAGGAUGAACGGCCACAUUGGGACUGAGACACGGCCCAGACUCCUACGGGAGGCAGCAGUGGUGAAUCGUCCGCAAUGGACGAAAGUCUGACGGGGCAACGCCGCGUGAGUGAUGACGGCCUUCGGGUUGUAAAGCUCUGUUAAUCGGGACGAAAGGCCUUUUUGCGAAUAGUGAGAAGGAUUGACGGUACCGGAAUAGAAAGCCACGGCUAACUACGUG
rnacentral:rRNA from 1 species